UACGGAGGGUGCGAGCGUUGUCCGGAAUCACUGGGCGUAAAGGGUGCGUAGGCGGCCUGAUAAGUAGGGGGUGAAAUCCUGCGGCUUAACCGCAGGGCUGCCUUCUAAACUGUCAGGCUCGAGCACAGUAGAGGCAGGUGGAAUUCCCGGUGUAGCGGUGGAAUGCGUAGAGAUCGGGAAGAACAUCAGUGGCGAAGGCGGUCUGCUGGGCCGUUGCUGACGCUGAGGCGCGACAGCGUGGGGAGCAAACAGG
rnacentral:rRNA from 1 species